GACGAACGCUGGCGGCGUGCUUAACACAUGCAAGUCGAACGGAAAGGCCCUGCUUUUGUGGUGUGCUCGAGUGGCGAACGGGUGAGUAACACGUGAGUAACCUGCCCUUGACUUUGGGAUAACUUCAGGAAACUGGGGCUAAUACCGUAUAGGAGCUCCUGCUCCAUUGUGGGGGUUGGAAAGUUUCGGCGGUUGGGGAUGGACUAGCGGCUUAUCAGCUUGUUGGUGGGGGAGUGGCAUACCAAGGCUUUGAAGGGUAGCCGGCCUGAGAGGGUGACCGGCCACCUUGGGACUGAGAUACGGACCAGACUCCUACGGGAGGCAGCAGUGGGGAAUAUUGCACAAUGGGCGGAAGUCUGAUGCAGCAACGCCGCGUGCGGGAUGACGGCCUUCGGGUUGUAAACCGCUUUCGCCUGUGACGAAGCGUGAGUGACGGUAAUGGGUAAAGAAGCACCGGCUAACUACGUG
rnacentral:rRNA from 1 species